ensembl:lncRNA
GAAAAGCGGGUGACAGGAGUUCCUUUUUGCCUUCGCCUUUCUGCUCGCUCUGCACUCAAACCGCUCAUCCCUGUGGUUCAAAGAAUAGAGUCUGGCUAGAAAGGGGAGAGGGCAUGAAGUUGGACACCCUGUCAGCUCGCAAGAUGCCCACCCAGGCACAUUCCCUGAUCCCCCCUGCCCGCAAAUUGCUAGACCUUGGAAACAUGUUUAUAAGAAACAGCACCCAUCGAGCUCAGUUUCUAGGACUUGGACAAGGUCACAUAGCUAUCAUGACACGGUUGCUUGUGGAACCUGUGUCUUUCUCUUCCUUUCCUGCCCUGAGCAGAUUGAUGGCGGAAUGGCAGAGACACUUGACUAGGGCAAGCCUCUCCGCUACUGGCUACCUGUUUCUUUGUCUUUGAUCCACUAGAAACUCUUGAAAUUGAGUCACACACUCUCACACACACACCCCUUCACUGGAAAGACACGUUAAAGCGCAACAGUUUGAGACUUGUAUUGCUGCUACCCUUGGACUUGCUUUGUGUCCCCUUCCUAGACUGUUACCCCAAGACCUCAUUUUAUCACAGCUUUGCCAGAGAGAGAGAGAGAGACCACCUGCUAGUCACUGACAUAACUUUGAUAUUACUUUCUCUUCUGAACUCCGUGGAGGUUUUUUGCUUUAUUCACUUUGCAAUUAAGAUGUAGUCCUAAUGCUUUUAAUCUAUUCCCAGGUAAAUGUUCUUCCACAGUGCUACUUGGCAUCUCCAGGGUCUAACCAGCAUGAUGUCAAGGGCAAGGGCUCAAAAGAGCGCUUGUAGAGAACAAGCAUUUGUAAGCUGCUGGGAAGUUUACACCUCACCUCACAUCCCAUCUCAAAACCCUAUUCUGUGCUUUCAGAUCUGUGUAGAACCUUCUCCACCCUAAUUUUUGGCCAGACUUAUGCACAGGAGACUGUUAAAAUUAUUCCAUAUUAGUAAUAGCCUGGAACAGCCAGGUGAAGGGCUUGCAGUGCCCUAUACUGACAUUAAUAACAAGCAGUUGAGAGGUUUAUUGACUCACCUGAAAGCACUUCUUAAACCCCAGGUUACAUCCCAUCACUACUAGAAGAAAAAUUUGAAGACAGGAGGGUCACUAAGAUCAAGCUUCAGUGGGUACCCCAUCUCAAGGGAAUGUGAUAGAGAAUGAUAGAGCAAGACAACACAUACCAUCCUCUGACCUCCGAGAAUGGGCGUGUGUGUGCGCGCGCUCUCUCUCUCUCUCUCUCUCUCUCUCUCUCUCUCUCUCUCUCUCUCUCUCUCGCACACACCAGUUUGUUUGUUUUAGAUAUAUAUUACUAACAGGCAUACUCAGAGAUCUUUACAAGUUUUGCAGCAAAGAGAAAUUAUUUUGCAUUAAUUAAUUUGCAGAAAUUAACCUGCAAUCCAAGAGGACAGAGUUUAGCAUAACUCUCAGGUUCUGUUGGAGGUUUUGUUUUGUUUGUUGAUCCUUGAGACAGUUCAGCCAGUUCAAGAUUAUUUCCUCUGUCAGCCAUAACAAAACAAAAACAAAAAAACCACAGCCCUCAUCUAAAGGAAUAAGAGCUUAUUCUGGGUCCAUUCUGAGUGACUAUGGCCCGGGACAUAAUCUCUUCAUUUGUCGCUUCAUUGAAACUAACAGUAUUAUUUUAACAGUACUAGAAAUUCACCGGGUAGAAUGUUAAAUAUCAUAGAGAGUUCUAAAAAUCUAAUUACAGAAGUAUUUAAGAAACAACAAGUGAGAGGUGAUCAGUUCCUGGGGUUAUCCAGCACUUCCAAGUCCCCAUGAAUGUGCUCCCGACAGCGUGAGAAAGUUGACGGCCUUGGGUCUCCUAGUCCAACAGUAAUUGGACAUUCCACUACCUGAGGACCCAGCUAUACCUGUCUUGGGCAUAUACCCAAAAGAUGCUCCAACAUACAACAAAGACACAUGGUCCACUAUGUUCAUGGCAGCCUUAUUUAUAAUAGCCAGAAGCUGGAAAGAACCCAGAUGCCCUUCAACAGAGGAAUGGAUUCAAAAAAUGUGGUACAUCUACACAAUGGAGUACUAUUCAGCUAUCAAAAGCAAUGACUUCAUGAAAUUCACAGGCAAAUGGAAUGAACUAGAAAAUAUCAUCCUGAGUGAGGUUACUCAAUCACAGAAAAACACACUUGGUAUGCACUCAUUGAUAAAUGGAUAUUAGCCAAAAAGCUCAAAUUACCCAAGAUGCAAUCCACAGACCACAGGAAGCUCAAGAAGAAAGAUGACCAAAAUGCGGAUGCUCCCACACUUUUUUUUUUUUUUUUGGUUCUUUUUUUCCGGAGCUGGGGACC